rnacentral:rRNA from 1 species
GAUGAACGCUGGCGGCGUGCCUAACACAUGCAAGUCGAGCGCGAUUAAGUGGAUUGGAGGCUUCGGCCAAAGAGAAACUUAUGAAAGCGGUGGACGGGUGAGUAACGCGUGGGUAACCUGCCCCAUACAAAGGGAUAGCCACUGGAAACGGUGAUUAAUACCUUAUAAGUCGGUAGUCUCGCAUGAGACAGCCGACAAAGAUUUAUCGGUAUGGGGAUGGACCCG